UACGUAGGGCGCAAGCGUUGUCCGGAAUUAUUGGGCGUAAAGAGCGCGCAGGCGGUCGUUCAAGUCGAGUGUGAAAGCCCCCGGCUCAACUGGGGAGGGUCACUCGAUACUGAUCGACUCGAAGGCAGAAGAGGGAAGCGGAAUUCCCGGUGUAGUGGUGAAAUGCGUAGAUAUCGGGAGGAACACCAGUGGCGAAGGCGGCUUUCUGGUCUGCUCUUGACGCUGAGGCGCGAAAGCUAGGGUAGCAAACAGG
rnacentral:rRNA from 1 species